AAAAAAAAUCGUUGAUACAGUUCUUACCAUAGGAGGUUGGUGGCACCUUCAUUGUGGAGAACGGACUCAUGGUAAUGCCUGGAGCAGUAUCAAAUACAAACAUAUGGUUUCCGAUUGGAGCUAGCACCAUGGAAACCACAAGAAAGAAGAAGAGGGUGUGUAGAUGGAUUCAUUGUUUGGUAAAUCCAUUUAUACAGACACUGCGUCCCAAAUGGCUCCAUAUCCCCUAUAUCCCUCAAACUCAACUCUGGACCUCGAAGACAAUUCCACUGCAUGUUUUCAUUGUUUCCCUCUAAUCUGAUUUAGACCUGGGAAACCAGAUGUGUGCAAUUAAUUAUCAGCGAGAACAGAAAGCCAGCAGGCUCCGGACCUCGUAGGAAGAGCUACCUGAACGUGAGAUGCCUGCCAGCCUGCCUGCCUGCCUUAGCCUCCAAAGGAACCAAGUUUAUGGUUUGCUGCCCCUCAGGUUGACAACAGCACUUAUUUAUGCAAAGCACAACCCUGUUGUCUAUGGAAAUCAGUAACAGUCAGUAACUGCCUGUCUGUGUCCCUGCCGGCCUGUCUUUCUGCCUGCCUGCCUGCCUACAUACCACAAACACAGGACAGUUUGAAAUGCACUGCUGCUGCUCUUGCUUUGCGAUUCCUUUUGUGUUUCACAAAUGGAGGAGGAGGAGGAGGAGAUGGGCGUAGGCUGUCAGGUGAUGUAGGCUUUGUGAUAAGUCUGUUGGAAAACCCCACAGAAAAGGGGCAUGCGGAGUCUGCUAGCGUUGCACGCCACAGUCAUAAAUAUUUCUGUCUUUUUCAUUCCCUCUCUCUAUCACCACCCUCUCCCACUCUGCACAAUGAUAAUGGCUCUACAGCUGCAGCAUUGGGCAGAAACUGUGAUUUUUAUUUUGUACUCCCUUCACUUCAGGCUGUGGAAAUGUGUCCUCCUUGUCUCUCAAUUGAACAUUUAAUAAAUAGAAAAUAACA